AUGUUGCAGAAGCAAAAGGAACCCAUAGAGGAGGGUGAAGUACCUUUAAUAGAGCAACAGAUUUGCGAGCAUGUGCUUGGUAAGGCAUAUGGUUACAUCAGAGGUAGGGGUCAUGGACCAAAACCAAAUAGAAGGGCUUACUCAAGCGCAUCAAGCUCAACUCAGCAUGUAGUGGAAGAAUUGGCCUCUACAAAGGAGAUUGUUGCUACACAACAAACUCAAAUUGAGGCUCAACAAUCUCAACUUGAAGCUCAACAGAAGAAGAUCGAUUGGCUACAAAGUGUCGUGUCUAACUUAGUUGGCAUUUCACCUCCUAUGGACGGCACUACUGCAACAGGGCUACGUUUCACAACUGAGCGGCCAAUGCCAUCUGACGGAAUAGGUUCGCUGAUGUCUAACACUGUACAAAGGAUGUCAAGUUUUCCAAGAUCAUUUGCAAGUCAUUUGAGGCCAGGAUAUAGACCUACUCCAACUUCUUCUUCUGAUGGAAAUGGUAUGAUCAGUUUGCCUCUGCUUCAAACAAUCAAAAUACUAUGUGAUUUGGCAAAUUUCUUCAUGAUCUUAAUCUUGAUGGUCCAAAUUUGUGAAUCACAGGCUCUCUGGUGUCGGAUGGAGGGUCUAGGUAUUCAUGAUCAGUGCUACCUUCAUUUUAUGUUGGUUAGUUGCCUUUGUCUACCAUCCUUUUCAUUUUUCUACUGA
rnacentral:rRNA from 1 species